UCCUUUUAAACCUUGAAUACACUACAAGUUUGCAUUUCCUGCAACAACAGGGUGAUCAAAUUAAAAUCCUAUAUCUGUAGUACAUUUAUACUUUCUGUUUCUAAUUCAGUGUUGUUCUAAUUAUACUGUUGUAUCCUAAUGUCCAUUCACUUCCUGUAUUUCACAACUUUCUUGUUCAGAAUCUCACAGGGCAUGACUUUGUGUUAGUAAGAUGUGACUGAAAGUGUGUGUGUGUGUGUGUGUGUGUGUGUGUGUGUGUGUGUGUGUGUGUGUGUGUGUGUGUGUGUGGUUGAAUGUGUGUCACUGCAGUAUUUACAGUAUGUGAUAUUGUAUAUGUGUGAAGCAGUAUGAUAGGGAUAGGGCCUGUAGCAGGGCUGGGAGAUGUCUGUGCUAGAGAGGAAAGGACAUGAGUCUAGUAGGCCUCUAUGUUCUAGUAGGCAGGCCUCUGUCUGCAGGCCUGCCUUUAGUCUGCUCUGUAGGGCUGAAAGGCAGCCCUGACAGACAGCUACUGUAGGGCUGAAAGGCAGCCCUGACAGACAGCUACUGACAGACAGCUACUGUAGGACUGAAAGGCAGCCCAGGCAGACAGCUACUGUAGGACUGAAAGGCAGCCCAGGCAGACAGCUACUGUAGGGCUGAAAGGCAGCCCAGGCAGACAGCUACUGUAGGACUGAAAGGCAGCCCAGACAGACAGCUACUGUAGGACUGAAAGGCAGCCCAGGCAGACAGCUACUGUAGGGCUGAAAGGCAGCCCAGGCAGACAGCUACUGUAGGGCUGAAAGGCAGCCCAGGCAGACAGCUACUGUAGGACUGAAAGGCAGCCCAGACAGACAGCUACUGUAGGACUGAAAGGCAGCCCAGACAGACAGCUGCUGUAGUGCUGAUAAGCAGCCCAGGCAGACAGCUACUGUAGGGCUGAAAGGCAGCCCAGGCAGACAGUUUAUGUAGGGCUGAAAGGCAGCCCAGGCAGACAGUUUAUGUAGGGCUGAAAGGCAGCCCAGGCAGACAGCUACUGUAGGGCUGAAUGGCAGCCCAGGCAGACAGUUUAUGUAGGGCUGAAAGGCAGCCCAGGCAGACAGCUUAUGUAGGGCUGAUAAGCAGCCCAGGCAGACAGCUACUGUAGGGCUGAAAGGCAGCCCAGGCAGACAGUUUAUGUAGGGCUGAAAGGCAGCCCAGGCAGACAGUUUAUGUAGGGCUGAAAGGCAGCCCAGGCAGACAGUUUAUGUAGGGCUGAAAGGCAGCCCAGGCAGACAGUUUAUAUAGGGCUGAAAGGCAGCCCAGGCAGACAGCUGCUAUAGGGCUGAAAGGCAGCCCAGGCAGACAGUUUAUGUAGGACUGAAAGGCAGCCCAGGCAGACAGUUUAUGUAGGACUGAAAGGCAGCCCAGGCAGACAGUUUAUAUAGGGCUGAAAGGCAGCCCAGGCAGACAGUUUAUGUAGGUCUGAAAGGCAGCCCAGGCAGACAGUUUAUAUAGGGCUGAAAGGCAGCCCAGGCAGACAGUUUAUGUAGGUCUGAAAGGCAGCCCAGGCAGACAGUUUAUAUAGGGCUGAAAGGCAGCCCAGGCAGACAGUUUAUGUAGGUCUGAAAGGCAGCCCAGGCAGACAGUUUAUAUAGGGCUGAAAGGCAGCCCAGUUAGACAGCUACUAUAAUGUGUGGCUGAUAGAAGGAUCCCCAUCCCAACUGCCACUCUCUCUUCAUAAUUGCAGCUGUUCAAUGGCUUUUCAUUAGUCUUAAAGCGUGUAGAGCACCACUUUCCCUGUAUCGCUGCAGGCCAGAAAGUCAGAUCCACGGCUUCUGACAAAACCAGCCAGGAAAGAGAAGCUAUGGGUGAAAAUGGGAUGGUUGUCAAAGCCAAGCAGAGCAGCCUUCUUUUUAUUUCUUGGUAACACUUUAUUUCAGGGAUCAUCAACUAGAUUCAGCCGCAGGAUGAAUUACAAAUCAUUUUUAACUGCAAAUUGACCCCAAGAAGCCCAAACAGAUAUAAUAUUUGACUAAAACUUAAUAAUUUCAAACUUGCUUAUAUUUGUACACGAUUAAUUGUCUCUCUAUUGUGCGUGGGAAUACUUGGGAAUUAUAAAAAAGUUAUUCUUAUUUUAUUUAUUUUUUGCUUAGAAAACUUGGGUGCGAAAUAAAAAAAAUGUAUAUGCCGGCCACCAGUUGGGCAGCCCUGCUUUAUUUGAACUAGCCACCAUAAUGCCUUUAUAACAAUGUUGUAAACAUGUCAUAACGCUUCAUAGCUUGUGUCAUUGUCAUAACUGAAGCUUUAUGUUAGUUAUGCUGAAGCUUUAUGAAGUUAUGACUCGUGGUAUGAAGCUUUAUAACAUAGUCAGGACAUUUUUAUGAAGGUUAUGAAGAGAUCAUGGUGUUUAGUUCAAAUGAAGUGUUACCAAUUUCUUUAUCUAUCUAUAUCAACAGGAAGUAGAACUGAUAUAUAGUGUUAAAAAUGCACUUAUAAAAAUAAAUUAACUUCUGCAAAUUUUUCCAAUUUCAAAUGUUAACAGUUGCCAAAUUGUUGUUCUCUUGCUUAAUCUUUUUGUAUGUUGACUGAGGUUGAGAUUGUAGACUGGCUGUAUUGUUGAGUUGAACAACUAUGUGCUCUCUGUUUCACAGCUCAGCUUGUCUGUCUGAAGCUUUAGGAAGGCAGUAAAUAAACCAAGACAGUGUUUUAUGACCCUCUG